rnacentral:rRNA from 1 species
AUCAUUAUGAUGGGUAGGGGAGCUUUCUAUGUGGCUUGAAGCAUGACCGUAAGGACAUGUGGACUGCAUAGAAGUGAGAAUGUUGGCAUGAGUAGCGAGAUGUGGGUGAGAAUCCCACAGGCCGUAAACCCAAGGUUUCCAGGGGAAGGUUCGUCCGCCCUGGGUUAGUCAGGACCUAAGCCGAGGCCGAAAGGCGUAGGUGAUGGACAACAGGUUGAUAUUCCUGUACCACCAAUAACCGUUUGAGAAAUGGGAUGACACAGUAGGAUAAGCUAACCGCACUGUUGGUUAUGUGCGGGCAAGUAUUGAGGCAGUUCCGAUAGGCAAAUCCGUCGGAAUAAUGCUGGGGUACGAUGCGGAGCGAAAUUAAGUAGCGAAGUAGCUGAUUUCACACUGUCGAGAAAAGUCUCUAUCGAGGUUAAAGGUGCCUGUACCGCAAACCGACACAGGUGGGUGAGGAGAGUAUCCUAAGGCCAGCGAGAGAACUGUUGUUAAGGAACUCGGCAAAAUGACCCCGUAACUUAGGGAGAAGGGGUGCCUUCGAAAGAAGGCCGCAGAGAAUAGGCCCAAGCGACUGUUUACCAAAAACAUAGGUUUCUGCUAAGUCGCAAGACGAUGUAUAGGAGCUGACGCCUGCCCGGUGCUGGAAGGUUAAGGGGAUCUGUUAGAGCAAUCGAAGCAGUGAACUUAAGCCCCAGUAAACGGCGGCCGUAACUAUAACGGUCCUAAGGUAGCGAAAUUCCUUGUCGGGUAAGUUCCGACCCGCACGAAAGGCGUAACGAUUUGGGCACUGUCUCAACAACAGACUCGGUGAAAUUGUAAUACCGGUGAAGAUGCCGGUUACCUGCGACAGGACGGAAAGACCCCAUGGAGCUUUACUGUAGCUUGACAUUGAGUCUCGGUGCUACAUGUACAGGAUAGGUGGGAGACUAUGAAGCAUGGACGUCAGUCUGUGUGGAGUCAUCCUUGGGAUACCACCCUUGUAGUACUGGGAUUCUAACCAGAGGCCAUGAAUCUGGUCUUGGGACACUGUCAGGUGGACAGUUUGACUGGGGCGGUCGCCUCCCAAAAAGUAACGGAGGCGCUCAAAGGUUCUCUCAGUACGGUCGGAAAUCGUACGAAGAGUGUAAAGGCAAAAGAGAGCUUGAUUGCAAGACAUACAGGUCGAGCAAGGACGAAAGUCGGACUUAGUGAUCCGGUGGUUCCGCAUGGAAGGGCCAUCGCUCAACGGAUAAAAGCUACCCUGGGGAUAACAGGCUGAUCUCCCCCAAGAGUCCACAUCGACGGGGAGGUUUGGCACCUCGAUGUCGGCUCAUCACAUCCUGGGGCUGUAGUAGGUCCCAAGGGUUGGGCUGUUCGCCCAUUAAAGUGGUACGCGAGCUGGGUUCAGAACGUCGUGAGACAGUUCGGUCCCUAUCCGUCGCAGGCGUAGGAAAUUUGAGGAGACCUGUCCUUAGUACGAGAGGACCGGGAUGGACGUACCGCUGGUGUACCAGUUGUUCUGCCAAGGGCAUGGCUGGGUAGCUAAGUACGGAAAGGAUAAGCGCUGAAAGCAUCUAAGCGCGAAGCCCACUUCAAGAUAAGAUUUCCCACCGCAAGGUUAAGAUCCCAGGAAGACUACCUGGUUGAUAGGUCAGAGGUGUAAGUGCAGUAAUGUAUUUAGCUUACUGAUACUAAUAGAUCGAGGACUUGACCAA